UACGGAGGGUGCAAGCGUUGCUCGGAUUUACUGGGCGUAAAGGGCACGUAGGCGGUUUGGUAAGUCGGGCGUGUAAUCCCGUCGUUUAUCGGCGGAACUGCGCUCGAAACUGCCAGGCUCGAGCGCAGGAGGGGUGAGAGGAACUCUAGGUGGAGCGGUGAAAUGCGUAGAUAUCUAGAGGAACGACGGAGGCGAAGGCGUCUCACUGGUCUGCUGCUGACGCUGAGGUGCGAAAGCUAGGGGAGCAAACGGG
rnacentral:rRNA from 1 species